rnacentral:rRNA from 1 species
CAGUCGCCGCGGUAAUACGUAGGGUGCAAGCGUUAAUCGGAAUUACUGGGCGUAAAGCGUGCGCAGGCGGUUUGUUAAGACAGAUGUGAAAUCCCCGGGCUCAACCUGGGAACUGCAUUUGUGACUGGCAGGCUAGAGUAUGGCAGAGGGGGGUGGAAUUCCGCGUGUAGUAGUGAAAUGCGUAGAUAUGCGGAGGAACACCGAUGGCGAAGGCAGCCCCCUGGGCCAAUACUGACGCUCAUGCACGAAAGCGUGGGGAGCAAACAGGAUUAGAUACCCCUGUAGUCCCUGUCUCUUAUAC